rnacentral:miRNA from 2 species
AAACGCCAUUAUCACACUA